ACACUAGCUCAGCUGGUAGAGCGCAACCUUGCCAAGGUUGAGGUCACGAGUUCGAACCUCGUGUGUCGCU
rnacentral:tRNA from 1 species